CUACUCAAAAUCAGCCUGUCGGAUGACCUGGAAAUCAGCCACCUCUAUAUUAGAAAAAAACAAAGAAGACAUUCAGUUUAGUUCCACUACCCAUACAGCUGUGAAGGUUAACCAUCGUCUAGUACAUUAUGACUCAUCCAUUUCUGAUCCCAGGUUCACAGAUAGCGUUAAACUUCAUAUUUCCUAAUGUGACGGACGAGGGUUAAGCAGGAUGCGGGGACGAGG